UUACAGCAGAUUUCAUUAAGUAUGUAGCCAAAGGUAGUAGUUUUGGUUAGCUUGCUUGUUAGCUGAACCGUGAAUUCAUUAUCAGGUCAGGUAUACUACCCUUCUUUCAAAGUAGCCUAGUCCAACAGACAGAUAUAUUGGUUAUCUGCCGGACUAGUCUACUCUUAAAGGAGGGUAGUUUACCUGACCUAACAAUGACUUCACGGUUCAGCUAACAAGCAAGCUAACCAACAAUAUUACCUUUGGAUACACACUCAAUGAAAUCUGCUGUAAGAACU
rnacentral:lncRNA from 1 species